AAAAUUUUGCAGUCUCAGUUUUCACUCUUGGCUUAUAAAUUAUUUGAUGCCUUACAUUUCAGAGACUUUCCAGGGAUCAGCAGCUCAAACUAUCCUUCUUGCUAUGCUCCCUCCUGAACUCUCCUCUCAUACCCCCCAGACACAUCCUCACCCCAGCCUUCUCCGCUCUGGGUUAGGACCACUCACUCAAUCCACUUAACUUCACUCAACUUUCUAUCCUCUAUGAAUUUCUCUUCUGCUGUUAGUGUGUGUCUAGUUAUCUAGUGGCUAUAUAUCUUUUUUUUUUACUUUAUUCUGACUUUAGAAGAUUUUGUGGGUUAAGUAGGAUUUAAAUAUUUAUGCUUGUGGCCAUCUUUACCCAAACUCCCCAGUAUGAGUAUUUUACUGUGAAGCACAAACAGAAUAUGCUGUUUCUUAUUUUUGAGAAUCUAUGAUUCUGAGCCCUAUGUUCUGAAUCAAUUACAUACAAAUAGUACUAAAUUGUUUUUAAAUUCUAUGUGCAUUGCAGUAAUGCAGAGAAGUAUAUGGUGACUUUACAGAUUUUUCAGUUGCAUGACUAUUGGUGAGCAGGAUGCUAAUGAGUUAUUCUUCAUCUCCAUAGAGACAAGGACAAUGAAAAUUUAGUAUAACUACAUUAAAAGUUUUGUUAGACAUUAGUGAUUCUUAAUUAUUAAACUAUAAAGUAAAAUUUCUCUUUAGCCUAUGUUUGUAAAGACAAAGCUCCCUGAGUGAUUUAGCCCAAGGCUUCAUCAUACAUGUGGACCUCUGGGUCUUAGAGAGGUCUGUAAAUUCAAACUGUAUCCAGAAUUAAAAUAAUUAUGUAUCCAUUUAUUUGGUCAAUGGCACAGGUAGAAUCAAUUAAAAUUAUUUCAAAUUCAGUGGCUCUAUUUUUCUUUCAUUUGCCAACAGAAUCUUCUGGAAUGGCAAAGAGAAAGUUUGUCAUCUACAUCUCUUAUUAAUGAAAGGACAAUUAACAAAUACCCAUAUUUUUCCUUUUGCUGAAUUAAGCAAACCAAUGAUGAGAGAUUUUGCUAAUUAUUUUAGUAUCUUUGCUAUCUUAUAAUUGUUAUUGCUUUUGUUUGGAAAAAAAAAAUACAUGUUUCUUUUGAGGGAAGAAUAUUGGCCUGAGAGAUUGACGGCCUUUUGUCUGCUAUAGUUUUUUCACCAACUGAUGUAUUUAGUGUCUGAUGUGUGAUCACAGAUAACUGUAGGGCUAGAUGAUCUUUAAAUCUCCCUUCUUUCUGGUCUCCCUCCCUUUCUGUGUUUUUGCUUUUCUUUUCUUUGAUAUUAAGAUAUGACUCUUGCUGUCAACUGGCUCAUGUUCCAGGGGCGAAAAUGUUGGUGCACAUCAUUGACAAAUAUAUAAAUAAAUAAUAUCAUAUGACUACUAUAAAAAAGUAUGUAGAAAAUUAUGGGGUGAUUAUGGACUAUUUUUAAACAGUCUUAUUUCUUAUCCAGUAGGCAGUUACCACUUCCAAUUAUGAAAAUGUAAUUAAAAUAGUGUCUCAUAUAACUGAGAUCUUUCACAUAUGGCUGUCUUUAGACCCCAUGUUUUACAAAAUUCACUGAGUAUUUUCCACUGAGUGCUUUGUUUACUGCUCAAAAAUCUUAAAAUAUUACUUCAAAGGAAAACUUUCAUCAAAAGAACCUCAGCGAAACCUCAAAACAAGCAAACACUCUAUUCAUCUGUUUAAUGCAUUAGCAAAGGCAGUGGUAUUAUCCCAGCUUAUAAGCUAACUAGACUCAUCACUUUGGUCCUUUCAUGUAUGCUUUUCCCAUGGUCAGAAUCCUGGAAAUUACUAAUAAACACUGGCAAGAAGAGAGGUUAAACACAGGCAUGCCAUUUCAUUUUAGCUGACAAAACAUUUAUUGAAAUGUUAUCUGUAUGAAACACUAAAUAGUCUGAAUCGAGAUCCCUGAAGAAAGUAACCCAUUUGGGUUCAACCUUCAACAUUUGGGUUCAACAUUCUUCUUCUAGGUUAAUUUAAACCAACAUGUCAAUGUUUUAUAUGCUCUGCAUGUAGUAUCCCUGAAGGUUGUGUUUUUCCUUUUGAGCUUUGCACAUGCUGAUCGCUCUUCAUAAACAGGGCCAUUCAAUACACUUAGGAAAAAAUGUUUGGUGUUAGUAGUGGGAAAAAGCAAUCAUUAAGGACUGUAGUAUAGAAUUGCUGUUGGUAAAAAGAGUACCAAGUGAGCAGAAUGCUCUGUAUUUUUAAAAUGGGAGCGAGUAACUGCUCUUAUUUCUAGAAGACUAUGCAUUUAUGCCACACCUGACAUGGGAAAGGAAUGCUUGAUGAGUAGCCAAUGAUGUUGAACUUGCUGUAUUUUCCAACUGACUUGUUUUUCUUAUGAAGGCAGCAUUUGAGUGAAAUUGUGUUUGUUUUUCUUUCUGAUAGGUUCUAAUUGAAGUUUGAGGGUUCAUUACACAAUGCCUGGGAAUAUGUUGUCAAAUACAAUUCACCUCUCCCACAGUGAAUGUUGGCAUAAUUUUAUAGGACGGGGACUGCAGAGUACAAAGCUCCCAUCAUAUUUGGCUCCAAUUUCAUUCAUCAUAGACAGAAUUUCUACAAAGUUUAGAAACUCUACUUUCAAAUGUCAGUGCCCUGAAACAAAUAUUAAAAGAAUAGGUUUGAAUCUGAGUAGAUGAACAUUGGCAUUCAAACAAUACUUUGUAGGUGAAAUCUUACGUCUCCUUCAAUUAUGUUGAAAAAUACAACCUUCAGUGUUUCAUAGAUGUUUCACCUGAAAUUGAAAAAACAUGCUACUUCAUCAAAGUCAUCUUCAUUUAAGUUUAAUAAGAAAAAUGAAAAUCAAAGAAUGUUUGCUCUUAUUACACACACACUGCUCAUGUACAGGGACAUUUCUGAUUUUAUUUGGGAAAUUGAAUAUAUGUCGGGUAGGCUUGGGUUGCUCUGUAAAGGAGUCUGCUUUACUGUGAGCACUCUUUUUAUUAACAUUUUAUAAACUGGCUUGGUAGUUUCCAGUUCUGUGGCAAGAACAAUCUAUCAUAAUAAACCUGUAACAUAAAUGUACAGGAUACAUUCUUGUUUCAAGAGUCUGUAAGAGGAGGCCCCUCAUGAACAAUUUAUAUGAGAAGGUCAUAAAAUGAAGUUCACCGAUAGCACAAGCAACUGCAGUGAAUAGUAUGUUGUCAAGAUCCUUUAUAUCAUGAAGAAAAUAUACUUUCAAAAAUUUCUUACUCUUAAUCCAAGUAUAUAUAUUUUUUGUAAAUAACAAUUGGAAGAAAGAGUUUAUAUUUUUUUAGAAGUGCCAGGCUGACCAUAUAUUAGGAGACUAAAUAAAGCAGGGAAAUGAUACCUGUUCUGAGUGAAAUAUUUUGCUCUGUUAGACAACUGGGUGUAAGGAUGGCUGUGCCAGUAUUAUUUUAUUUUUCUCUUGUGCCAGUUUGAUAAAACUCUUUAAAUAUUAGUUUGUGUUUUGAAAAAUACAAACUCUGUUAUGUUAUAUUUAGAGGAAAAUUAGCCUGAUGAUAUAAUCGGAUUUACUUAUGCGGUUAUCAACCAAACUAUUUAAUUAUUUGAAAUAGAUAACACUGUGAAGGAAAAUUGGGAUUUUUCAAUUUUUAUUUUACUCCUAUCUUGUUUCUUAUUUACUUGAAUCUUUCAUUCUUCUUUCGGCUCAGAGGGACUUAGGUCACUAAAGGAAAUGAGAAGCAAUUUUGAGUACAUAGGUUUCUGAGUGUUUGCAAAACAAAUAAACAAUAGCAAUGGUAUAAUCAUUUAUGGUAUUUAAAAUUGUGUUUAAACAGUUUAAAAAUAUUUCCUCAGUUACAUUUGUUUUAUAAUCUUAAAUAUGAAUCUUUGUCUCCCAAUAUUAUUCUCCCUCUGUAAAGCAAUAUUUGAAUAUAUUUAAAUUCACCUUUUAUUCUAGUUUUCCCUUAAGUGUACAGGCAAUACAUUAAAAUAAUGUGCAAAGGCCUAUACUUCCAGGCCCAUAGUUCUUCAUUUCUGUUGAAUUAUAGCUUGCUCUUUGGAAGAUUAGAUAUAUAAGCCAGGCUGACUGUUCUAAAACAUUUCUUAAGAUAAUAUUAAUUGUCAAUAAGAACGAUUGAAAUCCAUAGAUAAACUUAUAAGGAAUAGAACAUUUAUUUGAAUAACCUUGUAUGAUAUUUAAAUAGUAAUAGAUCAGAACCAGUUUUUUUAAAUCAAAAAAAAUAUUUUUAAUUAUUAAGACUUCACAUUGGGUUCAACCUGGUAUCUGAAAUGCAGUUUUUUUUUUUUCUUUUUGCUAAAUAAUGGUCUAUGGUCUAAGAAACUGAUCAUGAAUUUUAAAACAUGGCUGUCUUUAUAUUAGUGUGGUUGACCCUUGAACAACAUGGGCUUGAACUGCAUGGAUUCACUAUCAUGUGGAUUUUUUUUUUUUUUUUCCAAUGAAUACAAUGUCUGUAUGUUUGUUUUCAGGGUCUUUAAGGGUAAAAUUUGUGUUGGAUUAGAGAUCACAAUACAUGGAAUCAACAGAACUAGGGUUUGAGUCCUAAUUCUGUUCUUAAGCUUCCGGCCCUGGGGAGUCAUUUAUCAAUUCCUUUGUUUUUGAGGCAGAGACGGCAGUAGGUGGAUUUUUGACUGUGCAGGGAUCAGCGCCUCUAUGCUUCUAACCCUCAUGUUAUCCAAGGAUCAGUUGUAUAAAUUUAGAUGUUAGACACUUGUUUAAGAGCAACUGAAUAUCUGAGUUAAAUUAUUUUUAGGAAAUACAAGGCUUCUCUGUAAUGUUGUCUUCUGUGGACAACAUCUAGAAGUCUUUUCUGUUAUUCCUGAUUAACACACAGGCCUUUCAACUCAAAUAAACUAAAACAAUACAUAAGAACAAAGACUGAAAAGAAAAUAAAACUAAUUUGAACUCAAGGGGUUUUUCUCAGGCAAGGCCUCAGAGAAUGUGCCAGUUCUUGUUAAGAAAGGCAUUGUAUUUAAAGGCCACAUUUAGCUGAAUAGAUUGAAAAAUCCUUAUUAUUUUGAUUAAUGAUUCAAUUGUUGUCUCAAUGCUAAAUAUUCAUAAAAAGUACCUUUUCAUUCACAUUUCAAAAUGAGGUAAAUUAAGGAAAAAGUAGGUCAGUGUGCUGAGAAAUGAGCUUUUCUUUAUCAAAUGGUUAAUUCCAUACUUUCAAAAGAGCAAAGAUCAGCUCAGCAAAUAAGGUGCUGAGGAUAAUGAAAGUACUGUACACAGGAAAACUAUCCUUUUGUUUUGAAUCUAGAGUUGAUUAAUUAAAUUUCCUUGUAGAAGUAUUGCAUAAAACACAUUUCAAGGGCAAAAUCCUUCUUCAUUGCACAACUAGUUGAAGGUCCAGAUUUCAACGACUAACUUAAGGGUAGGUGGGAAAAUGUGCUCACAAAUUUUAUGCAGAUUGUUAAAAACAAACUUACUUACAUAAGACUAUUGGGAAUACAGACCUGGGAGGUGUCCAGGAGUGACCAAUCUCAAUGCCUUCUUGCUGCUACAGAGCUUUCCGGGCUAGGAUCUUUUACACUGAGACAGAAAGCAUCAUCAGGAAGCUUUUGUUACCAUCUGUGUGCCAUAGGGUUUGUCUGACUGACUGCUGAUGAACACAUAGAUUGAAUCUCUCUACUCUGCCUCAAAACAUACCAAAUCAGACAUUAAUAAAAAAAAGAAAUAUUAAUGAAAUCAAUUUUAAAAGGAAAAGAAACAAAUAUCUUUAAAGGUACCAAAGAAUAACACAAAGAACAGUCAAUAUUGAUUUUUAUUAAAUAUUAAUUGGGCAAUAUAUCCAUGUGGGCACUGUUAGAUUGACCUCAUGUGCUUUGCAUGAAUAUCCACCUAUUAGAUGUCAAGCUUGGAGACACACUCCUGACCACUCUUCAUUACAUGUGAUGCUUAUCUGAUGUUGUAUUGAGGAGGCCACCAGAAUCUGUAGUGAGCAAUACCUGAUGAGUAUAUUUUCUAGACAUUUAAAAACUAUCCCUGCACAAGAGAGUAGAAGAACCCUCUGCCCAUCAGGAGUUCAAGGUUUGCAUGAGUUUCCAGGAAGAAGACCCUAUUCUCUACAUAGGAAAGCAAAGAUUUUAUAGCUCAGUGGAUGAUGCACAUUUGAGUCUGAACUUUGUGUCUUUGGUUUUUGUGAUGUUUUCAUUUUUGAAUGGAUGGGGACCAGGGGAAAAGCCAAAGAGCAAGGGCAGAGGUAAAUCAACAAAAUACUUUUAUAUAAUGAUAAAGAGUGAGAAGAAAAUGAAAUAGGUGUUGUGAUAGUUCAUGGUGUAGGAGUCACCUUGGGGAGUGAGGAAAGGCUUUGUUAAAGGAAGCAGUGUGUUAGCUGAAGCUCAGUUGAAGGAGUUAUAGCUCUGAAAGGUCUCAGAUGCAGGUGGUUCUAGGUGGACAGAGAAUUCAGAGAUCCUCAGAUGUGAAUGAAUGUCUCAUGUGGGAUGAACUCCUUAUGUUUAAAGAACAUAAAUAAAUCCGUAAAGGCCACAAUACUGUGAGUGAGAGGAAGGGUAGGAGGUAAAAUCAGAAGGCAUGAGGGCCUAGAUUGAUCUUGGUGAGUCUUUUAAAUGAUGGGACUUAGUUUGAGUCUUAUUAUAAGAGUAUGGGAAACCAGUUGAUGUUUUUGAAAUUGUGCUUGUUUAGUACUCUUUUACUCUGCCUACUUUCUGGAAAACAGAUUGUAAGGAGAUAAGAGUUGGAAGCAAGCAAUACUUCUAGUCAAAGAUUCCACAGGAGACUUUACCAAGUUCUAUAAUUCCCAGACUCUGAAGGAGACCACUAGGGCUUCUUUCUCAGUUGCUGUCAUGUUAGAGGCCAGGACUGCUGAGCAGAUGACUUUUGGGACCAAUUACAACUGUUAGUUCUGACUCACACCUAAGCCACUGGAAUAGGGUUAAUGCAACUACAGGGAAGAUGACAGAGGGAAGCUUUUUUUUUUUUUUUAACUUUAGUCUCCAAAGAUGCAGUAGCACUUAAAUAAUUACAUUUGUGCAGUUUUGAAAUCUUAGCUUAUCACCAAUACUCCAGUUUCUAAAGGCAGUUCACAUGAAUUCCCAGUUCUUUGAACAUGUAUUUUAGUUAUUAUAUAACAACUUCUUGUGUAGUUUUCAAUACUUGGGUUAAUAUUUUUAUUUUAAAGCAAAUUCAUAUUCUACAUACAGAAGCCAUAAUAACAAUGUUAACUCUUUAUAUAGAACAAGGAAAAUUAAAAAUGCUGUGUAAGUGGAAGGCAUCAUAUUGGUAUUUUCACACAGGCUCAGAUCUAAGGCUGGGUAAAGAUCAGCAUCAAAUAAAAUUAUAGCUGAUGUUUCAGUUAUUCUGAGUUAUAAGCUUCAAAUCACUAUUAUCAUUAUACUUGCUAAUUACCAAGUUUAAUUCUUAUAAAAAUUGAAGUACUCUAACCUCAUGCCAUAUUUUAGCCUCAUUGUUUUGUUUAAUAAUAAAUUCUUUAAAGAAUGCAAACUAGGAGUUCCUGUUGUGGUGCAACGGAAAUGAAUUCAACUAGGAACCAUGAGGUUAGGGGUUUAGUCUGUGGCCUUACUCAGUGGGUUAAGGAUCUGGCUUUGCCGUGAGCUGUGGUGUAGGUCACAGACAUGGCUCGGCUCUAAUGUUACUGUGAUGUAGGCCAGCAGGUGUAGCUC
rnacentral:lncRNA from 1 species